rnacentral:rRNA from 1 species
GCCGGCUGUAUGCCUAACACAUGCAAGUCGUACGAGAGUUUUUAACUCUAGUGGCGGACGGGUGAGUAACACGUGAGAAUUUGCCUUUAGGAGGGGGACAACAAUUGGAAACGAAUGCUAAUACCCCAUAUGCUUUCGAGUGAAAUGGAUUUAUAUUUAUCCGCCUAGAGAGAAGCUCGCGGCUGAUUAGCUUGUUGGUAAGGUAAGAGCUUACCAAGGCGACGAUCAGUAUCUGGUUUGAGAGGACGAUCAGACACACUGGAACUGAGACACGGUCCAGACUCCUACGGGAGGCAGCAGUGGGGAAUUUUCCGCAAUGGGCGAAAGCCUGACGGAGCAAUACAGCGUGAGGGAAGACUGCCUAUGGGUUGUAAACCUCUUUUUUCAGGGAGGAAUAAAUGACGUGUACCUGAAGAAUAAGCAUCGGCUAACUCCGUGCCAGCAGCCGCGGUAAGACGGAGGAUGCAAGUGUUAUCCGGAAUCACUGGGCGUAAAGCGUCUGUAGGUGGUUUAAUAAGUCAACUGUUAAAUCUUGAGGCUCAACUUCAAAAUCGCAGUCGAAACUAUUAGACUAGAGUAUAGUAGAGGUAAAGGGAAUUUCCAGUGGAGCGGUGAAAUGCGUAGAUAUUGGAAAGAACACCGAUGGCGAAAGCACUUUACUGGGCUAUUACUAACACUCAGAGACGAAAGCUAGGGUAGCAAAUGGGAUUAGAUACCCCCAGUAGUCCUAG